UUCUAAGCCAUUUUUGCAGAGAAGAGA
rnacentral:piRNA from 1 species